rnacentral:rRNA from 1 species
UGAACGCUGGCGGCGUGCUUAACACAUGCAAGUCGAACGAACCUUCGGGUUAGUGGCGGACGGGUGAGUAACGCGUGGGAAUCUGCCCUCAGGAGGGGGAUAACGGCCGGAAACGGCCGCUAAUACCCCAUAUGCCGAGAGGUGAAAUGAAUUUCGCCUGAGGAUGAGCCCGCGUCUGAUUAGCUAGUUGGUGUAGGUAAUGGCUCACCAAGGCAUCGAUCAGUAGCUGGUCUGAGAGGAUGAUCAGCCACACUGGGACUGAGACACGGCCCAGACUCCUACGGGAGGCAGCAGUGGGGAAUUUUCCGCAAUGGGCGAAAGCCUGACGGAGCAACGCCGCGUGAGGGAUGAAGGCCUCUGGGCUGUAAACCUCUUUUAUCAAGGAAGAAGAUCUGACGGUACUUGAUGAAUAAGCCACGGCUAAUUCCGUGCC